rnacentral:rRNA from 1 species
UACGUAGGGGGCAAGCGUUGUCCGGAUUUAUUGGGCGUAAAGGGUGUGUAGGUGGCGUGAUUAGUCUUCUGUUAAACCUUCUGGCUCAACCAGAAACUUGCAGAGGAAACGGUCAUGCUCGAGGGUGCGAGAGGUGAAUGGAACUCAUGGAGUAGGGGUGAAAUCCGUUGAUAUCAUGGGGAACACCAAAAGCGAAGGCAAUUCACUGGCGCAUUCCUGACACUGAAACACGAAAGCGUGGGUAGCGAACGGG